GAAACUGAGUGAUCUACCCAUGGCCAGGUUGAAGGGAGGGUAACACCUCCUGGAGGACCGAACCCGUUAACGUUGAAAAGUUAUGGGAUGAGCUGUGGGGAGGAGUAAAAGUCUAAUCAAACUCGGAGAUAUCUCGUUCUCCUCGAAAUAGCUUUAGGGCUAGCCUCAUGUGUUUGGCAAUGGUGGUAGAGCUCUGGUUGGACUAGCGGGACUACCAUCUUAGCAACUCCAGUCAAACUGCAAAUGCCAUUGCCUGAAGCAUGGGAGUCAGUCUGCGGGGGAUAAGCUCCGUUGACGAAAGGGAAACAGCCCAGAUCGCCAGCUAAGGUCCCAAAAUACAAGCUAAGUGGUAAAGGAUGUAAUGUUACACAGACAACCAGGAUGUUGGCUUAGAAGCAGCCAUUCAUUUAAAGAGUGCGUAACUGCUCACUGGUCGAGUGACUUUGCACCGAAAAUGUACCGGGGCUAAGCUUGUUACCGAAGCUGCGGAUUCUAAUCUAAUAGACUAGAGUGGUAGAGGAGCGUUCUAUUGUAGGAAGAAGGUAAAUCGAAAGACUUACUGGACGAACUAGAAGUGACCAUGCCGGCAUAAGUAGCGA
rnacentral:rRNA from 1 species